UACGUAGGGUGCAAGCGUUGUCCGGAAUUAUUGGGCGUAAAGAGCUCGUAGGUGGCCUGUCGCGUCGGCUGUGAAAACUCGGGGCUCAACUCCGAGCUUGCAGUCGAUACGGGCAGGCUAGAGUGCGGGAGAGGAGAGUGGAAUUCCUGGUGUAGCGGUGAAAUGCGUAGAUAUCGAGGAGGAACACCGGUGGUGUAGACGGCUCUCGUGGACCGUAACUGACGCUGAGGCACGAAAGCUGGGGGAGCAAACAGG
rnacentral:rRNA from 1 species